UACGUAGGGCGCAAGCGUUGUCCGGAAUUAUUGGGCGUAAAGAGCUCGUAGGUGGCCUGUCGCGUCGGCUGUGAAAACUCGGGGCUCAACUCCGAGCUUGCAGUCGAUACGGGCAGGCUAGAGUUCGGCAGGGGAGACUGGAAUUCCUGGUGUAGCGGUGAAAUGCGCAGAUAUCAGGAGGAACACCGGUGGCGAAGGCGGGUCUCUGGGCCGAUACUGACGCUGAGGAGCGAAAGCGUGGGAGCGAACAGG
rnacentral:rRNA from 1 species